rnacentral:rRNA from 1 species
GACGAACGCUGGCGGCGUGCCUAAUACAUGCAAGUCGAACGCUGAAGGAGGAGCUUGCUUCUCUGGAUGAGUUGCGAACGGGUGAGUAACGCGUAGGUAACCUGCCUGGUAGCGGGGGAUAACUAUUGGAAACGAUAGCUAAUACCGCAUAACAGUAGAUAUCGCAUGAUAUCUACUUGAAAGGUGCAAUUGCAUCACUACCAGAUGGACCUGCGUUGUAUUAGCUAGUUGGUGAGGUAACGGCUCACCAAGGCGACGAUACAUAGCCGACCUGAGAGGGUGAUCGGCCACACUGGGACUGAGACACGGCCCAGACUCCUACGGGAGGCAGCAGUAGGGAAUCUUCGGCAAUGGACGGAAGUCUGACCGAGCAACGCCGCGGGAGUGAAGAAGGGUGUCGGAUCGUAAAGCUCUGUUGUAAGAGAAGAACGAGUGUGAGAGUGGAAAGUUCACACUGUGACGGUAGCUUACCAGAAAGGGACGGCUAACUACGUG